AUGGGGGGCUCCUCCGUGUGCGACGGGACUCUGUCUCUCGACGAGUUCAACGCCUCAGCCAAGGCCCUGGUCACCAAGUGGAGGGGGAUCGACGUCGACGCUCUUCCCGACUGGGAGUGGAGGCCUUGCUGCAAGAUGGGGGUGCCAUCUGAGACAGAGGGGUUCGUAGCUCUUGAAGGAGUGUACCGAAUUCGUGCAGGAGGCCAGGUUGAGGAGAGCAGUGACGACCCUGUCCCUGAUGAUGGUGCAGAGCAUGAUACCUUGGUUCAGAGCUCUAGGGAUAAUGUUCAUCUUUAUGAUUUCCAUAUUGUCUACAGCUUUUCUUACAAGGUUCCGGUGCUAUACUUUCAAGGCCUUCAGGCUGGUGGGCAGCUACUAACUUUAGAUGAGAUAAAAAAGGAUCUUCCUCCUCACUCACUUCAGUUGUUAAACAAAUCAAAGUGGACAUUUAUUACUCGAGAGGAGCAUCCCCACCUAAGUAGGCCAUGGUUCACCCUGCAUCCAUGUGGAACCAGUGACUGGAUGAAGUUGCUUCUUCAUAAACUGGGAGAUAAGGAUCGAUCUCUGCAAUACUUGCCAGCAUGGUUAUCUGUGGCCGGUCAGGCAGUAGGAUUGAAAAUCCCGCUUAAGCUUUAUUGCAGUUCAUAG
rnacentral:rRNA from 1 species